AUAAUAUAGGCCUUGUACUACUCAUUAAACAAAACUUAUAACAUGAUUUUUGAUUAAAACUAAAAUUUUUCAAGCCCUUUUGAUUUAAUUUUUUUUUUUUUAACUGUUUAGUUUUUAGUUUUGUCUAAUUUUUGUGGUCUGCUUUAUAGGGUUUCGUUAUCUUUCAUUGCAGUGGACGGAUACCUAAAGUAGCUUUGAUGGCACGAUCUUACCUACCAAGCAAGGUUUCAGAGAUAGUUUCAAUUUGGAGAAAUGACCUGAACAAGGUCAAUAAAAAAGCUGCAGAAUCAUUGGCCGAUCCGCAAGUGUGUCCUAAUUUGUUUGAGGACUGGGGCAUUCAUCCUCCUGUUGACGUAGUGUUGAUGUACUGAUUUUCUGGGAUUUUUUUGUCCUUGCAGGAUUUUUGGUCUUUGAAAUGGGUACAUGUUGUUUUUAACGUUUUGGUUCUCGUGUGUUCCGCUCUUCGUUGCUUCGUGAUUCUGAUUUUUCAGUGUUGGGUAAUGGAAAUUUGUAAAAAUAGUCGUAGUUUUUUGAGAAAGUUGGCAUUUUUAGUUAUAUUUUCUGUUUAAUCCCAACUGUGAGAUUGGAAAAUAAUUGAAAUGAUGGUUUUGUAUAAAAACACCUCUCAAUUUUUUUUCUGGGAUUUAAAAGCAUCUUUUCCCGAUUGUUUACAAGGGUUAUGUUCUCUAUAAUUGGUUCACCUAAUUUUGAUUAGUUUUAAGUUUUGUCUUCUGUGCUGUACUGAGAGAUUUCUGUUGGCCUUUCGGAUUUCGGCAUGGUAAUGUUCACUUAUUUGUCUAAUUAGAUUGCAUAUGGCUUCGAUUCUUUAUUUAAUUGUUCUGUUUGUGUUCGGGAGUGAUGAUCUAAAUUUUAUAUGUUUGGAAUUAUUCACUUAACACCAAUUUGUUACAUUCAGGUCUCCACCCCACAUUUCACAAGUUCAAAUUCCAUAGAAGUCGGUUCUGCAGAUUGUGUCUGCAAUUAGAUCAGAGAUCAACUGCUCUUUUGUUAUCAUGCGGAAGAUUGCUUUUGGGAAGGAUCUGAAGCAGUUCCUCUC